GGGUUUGUAACUCAAAGGUUAGAGUACGCAACUUUUAAUUGUGGAGUUGGAGGUUCGAGUCCUCUCAAGCCUA
rnacentral:tRNA from 1 species